rnacentral:misc_RNA from 1 species
AACGCACCUUGCGCUCCUUGGUAUUCCGAGGAGCAUGCCUGUUUGAGUGUCAUUUAAUUCUCAAUCUCUACAAACUUGUGUUGUUAGCAGAUUGGAGGUGGGGGCUUUGUGGGUGUAUCUAUUAUAUCCACUCCCCUAAAAAUUAUUAGCUGGAAUGCCUUUGCAAAACCAACUAUCAGUAUGAUAAUUAUCUACUCUGAUGUUGUUGUGAAGGGAAUCUGCUUUCAAACCGUCGUUUCGACACUUUGAAUCCAUUUGACCUCAAAUCAGGUAGGACUACCCGCUGAACUUAA